rfam:Loxodonta africana unplaced genomic scaffold scaffold_54, whole genome shotgun sequence.
GCAUUGGUGGUUCAGUGGUAGAAUUCUCGACUUUUAUGCAGAAGACCUGGGUUCGAUUCCCAGCCAAUGCA